GGUAGCGUGGCCCAGUGGUCUAAGGUGCUGGUUUAUGGCGUCAGAGGCGUGGGUUCGAAUCCCACCGCUGCCA